CGCGCACCACCGGUGGCACUGGACACAGUUUCGCGGAUUUGACCGAGUUGGGAACUAGCUGCCACCCAUCCAUCAUGCCGUCCAAGCCUGCGCCGAUCAAGAAGGCGGCGAAGAAAGAGCCCGCCAAGAAGGAGGAGGAGAAGGCUCCAGAGCCGGCACCGGCCCCCGAGCCCGCACCCGCCGAGGCCGCUCCUGCCGUGGAGGCCCCCGCUGAGGGCGAGGCUGCACCUGCCGAGGAGGCCCCCGCUGCCCCGGCAGCCGAGGAGCCCCAGCCCCCCAUCCCUCCACCCGCAGAUGCUGCCGCCGCUCCGGCCCCGGGGGAGGCCGCUCCUGCUGCUCAGACCGACGCCCCUGCUGAUGCGGAAGCUGCUGAGGCGCCUGCACCCGAGGAGCCCAAAGCACCCACACCUCCACCACCUCCACCCAAAGAGCCCACCAGCGUGCCACUGGACCUGUUCGUCGAGGACAAGAACGACACGUCGGUCUCCAUCAUCUGGAGCCAGCCGGAGAUCGUCGGGCCGUCCGGUCUGGACGGGUACACCAUCGAAAUCUGCAAGGACGGAACCGACGACUGGAGAGCGGCGAACGCCGACCUGCAGAAGUCCUGCCGCUACGUCAUCAAGAACCAGGCCACCGGCGACCGCCUGAAGAUCCGCGUGGUGGCCGUGAACGCCGGCGGCCGCAGCCCCGCCGCCGCGCUCCCCGAGGCCGUGCUGGUGAAGGAGGUCGCCGACCGUCCCAAGGUUCGCCUGCCCCGUUUCCUCAGGCAGAGGUACGUCGCCAACGUUGGAGACAAGAUCAACCUGACCAUCCCCUUCACAGGAAAGCCCAAACCCGUGGUCAGCUGGACAAAGAACGGAGAGGCCCUGGACACCAAGAGGGUGAACAUCCGCAGCGCCGACAGGGACAGCAUCCUGUUCAUCCGCCAGGCCGAGAGAGACGACUCCGGGGUGUAUGAGAUGUGUGUGAAGGUGGAGGACUUCGAGGACAAGGCCUCGCUCACCCUCCAAAUCGUCGAGCUGCCGGGGCCUCCGGCCAGCGUGAAGAUCGUGGAUACCUGGGGCUUCAACGUUGCCCUGGAGUGGACUCCGCCCACGGACAGUGGGAACACGGAAAUCAAGGGUUACACUAUACAGAAGGCCGACAAAAAGACUGGAGACUGGUUCACUGUGCUGGAACACUACCAUAGACUGAAUGCCACCAUCUCUGACCUCAUCAUGGGCAACACCUACACGUUCCGAGUGUUCUCAGAAAACAAGUGUGGACUGAGCGAGAACGCCGCCGUGACGAAGGGGGAGGCCAAGAUCCUGAAGACAGGCAUCGAAUACAGGCCCCCCGAUUACAAGGAGCGCGACUUCACCGAGGCGCCCAAGUUCACCACCGCUCUGAACGACAGAGCCACCACCAUCGGCUACAGCACCAAGCUGCUCUGCUCCGUCAGGGGACUGCCCAAACCCAAGGUUAUAUGGAUGAAGAACCAGAUGAUUAUUGGAGACGACCCCAAGUACAGGCAGAUCUGCGUCCAGGGCAUCUGCUCCCUGGAGAUCCGCAAGCCCGGCAACUUUGACGGCGGCGUGUACACCUGCAAAGCCAAGAACGACCACGGAGAGGCCGUCGUGAGCUGCAAACUGGAGGUCAAACAGCCGGCGAUCGCAGACGCCGACAAGAAAUAGGUCAACAUUCUCAUAACCACAGGAGCCGGACGGAAUGAGGCCUUUGCAGCAUAAGGAAGGCGCUGGAUUCCUCGCUGGAGAGAACAUGUAUAUAUGGCCGUUGCCUGUGACCCUCUCGCCAAGUGUUAACCUCUGUUAUGAUGAAGAAUUGUUGUCGCUUUAUGCCUUUUCACUACAUACAAAAACGUCCACAACCAGCUCUUUCCCCCCAACGAUACUGUCCACGGUAACUAAAUCAUCACCUCCCUAGUUCAUCAUCGUGUCCGUGUAACUAGGUUGUAUGCCAAGAAUAUCACAGCAUGGAUUCACUUGAUCCUCAUAGGAGAUUCUACAUGUAACAUCUACGUGUUUAUAUCAAUAAAUCAUUUAAUUUCUGGU